rnacentral:tRNA from 1 species
ACUGAACGAAAGCCAAAAUAGCGGCGCCUAGCUGUUAAUUAGGAGAUUGUAGGCCUUGCUACUCGUCC